AUAGAAGUUUGAUCCUGGCUCAGAAUCAACGCUGGCGGCGCGCUUAACACAUGCAAGUCGCACGAGAAAGUGGAGCAAUCCAUGAGUAAAGUGGCGUACGGGUGAGUAACACGUGGAUCAUCUACCUUUUAGUGGGGAAUACCCCUGGGAAACCGGGGAUAAUACCGCAUAAGCUCGAGAGAGGAAAGCCGAAAGGCGCUGAAAGAGGAGUCCGCGGCUGAUUAGCUAGUUGGUGAGGUAAUGGCCCACCAAGGCGAAGAUCGGUAGCCGGCCUGAGAGGGCACACGGCCACACUGGCACUGAAACACGGGCCAGACUCCUACGGGAGGCAGCAGUGGGGAAUCUUGCACAAUGGAGGAAACUCUGAUGCAGCGACGCCGCGUGAGCGAUGAAGCCCUUCGGGGUGUAAAGCUCUUUCGACGGGAACGAUAAUGACGGUACCCGAAGAAGAAGCCCCGGCUAACUACGUGCCAGCAGCCGCGGUAAUACGUAGGGGGCGAGCGUUGUCCGGAUUUACUGGGCGUAAAGAGCGCGUAGGCGGAUCUUCGCAUCCUUGAUGAAAGGGCGGGGCUUAACCCACGAUGGUUGNAGAGAUGGGGGGAUCUUGAGGGCAGGAGAAGACCGUGGAAUUCGGGGUGUAGUGGUGAAAUGCGUAAAGAUCCGGAGGAACACCANNUGCCAAAAGCGCCGGUCUGGGCUGCAUCUGACGCUGAAGCGCGAAAGCGUGGGGAGCGAACUGAAUUAAAUACUCAGGUANUCCACGCCCUAACAAUGACCCAAAAGUGUCGGGGGGUUCAAACCCCUUCGCCCCGGGGCUAACCAAAAAAUUGCCCCCCUGGGAAUAACGCCCCAGGCUUAACUUAAAAGAAUUACCGC
rnacentral:rRNA from 1 species